rnacentral:rRNA from 1 species
CUACGGGAGGCACCAGUAAGGAAUAUUGCGCAAUGGAGGCAACUCUGACGCAGCCAUGCCGCGUGCAGGAAGAAGGCCUUAUGGGUCGUAAACUGCUUUUAUUUAGGAAUAAACCCCCGAACGUGUUCGGGGCUGAAGGUACUAAACGAAUAAGCACCGGCUAACUCCGUGCCAGCAGCCGCGGUAAUACGGAGGGUGCAAGCGUUAUCCGGAUUUAUUGGGUUUAAAGGGUGCGCAGGCGGGCUAUUAAGUCAGUGGUGAAAUCCCGGGGCUCAACUCCGGAACUGCCAUUGAUACUGAUAGUCUUGAGUUUGGUUGAAGUGGGCGGAAUGUGGCAUGUAGCGGUGAAAUGCAUAGAUAUGCUACAGAACACCAAUCGCGAAGGCAGCUCACUAAGCCAAAACUGACGCUCAUGCACGAAAGCGUGGGGAUCAAACAGGAUUAGAUACCCCUGUAGUC